CCAAGAAGGACAGCCAGAGCAGGGGUGAGGACUGCGAGAAACAGAAAGGGCGGGAGACUGUGUGUGUGAGGGAGAGAAAUAGAGAGAAAGGGAGGGGGUGGAAGAGGCAGUGUGAUAGAGGGAGAGAGAGAAAGGGAGAGAGAUAGAGGGAGGGAGUUUUUGAGUACAAGUGCUUUCUCGUCCUCUUCCUAGAGAAGAUGAGGGCUCCCUGACGUUGUGUCAUAUCGCAGGUGAAAAGAUGGGAAAAGUUUGAGACAUCUUAGUCAUGGAUGAACACUUCCCACAGAUACCUGGAGCAGGGAAACCUGCACAGCACAUCCCAGUCUGACAGGCAGAGGAGAGAGACAACUGUUGGUGGACGACAGCUGGAGGGCAGAUACAGAGCACCAGAGCGCUGACACAGUGGGGAAUGGGAACCUCUUUGAGUGACAAGAUAAAGGGGAUGAUCGAACUACAAGGUUCACAGCUUUAAAUCCUGCUCAUACGCGCGUGACUGAGGUGUGAUCUACGCUAACCAUGGCUGUGACAGGAGUCAUCAGAGGAACACACUGGGCUGACACAUACACACUCAACGCACCUCACCGACACACCAAGGUCAAAACACAGAUCACACUUUGCUCAACUCUGGGCUUUGCAUCCUCAAGAUGUUAACUUCAGUGCAGCAGUGCUGUUUGGGGCCUCCAUCAUGGACAACGUGACACCCGGCAUCCCUCCAGAGGGCUUGGACCAGGGGGGAUUAGACCAGGGGGGCUUAGACCAGG